CAGGAGCGCGGUGGAGGCGCUUGGUCACGCCCCGUGCACUCUGCUCAGAGAAAGACAGCCGUGGGACUGGAGACCAGGGCAGGGUCCUAGAGGGAAAGUGGCGGCUUUCUGAGCCAGGAGAGAUGCUUUCGUCGGGAAGAACCCAUCAGAGACACCGUCCAGGCCAAGGAAGCAUCGAGCAGGGGCUCAGCCCUGCUGGGCCUCCCUGAGGAUGAGGACAGGAGGGGCUCCUUCGGAAGGGGAAAUUUGGGCAGGGACACGCACUCAGGGAGAACACCAUGUGAGGGUGAAGAGUGGGACUUGAACUUCCAGCCUCCGGACAUGGGAGACAACACAGAGAAAAGUAAGAAACCGUGGCGACCAGUUCUCAGCAUCUCCUGAAUCAGUCAAAUGAGAAAUAGACUGGGAGCAGCCACCUGGGAGGGCAGCGGAAUCUCCAAGAAGACGACCACCACGAAGUUUGUGCGGUGGGAGGCGGAGGUCAAGCCGCCCACCUCGGUCCCAGGCUGCCCCACAUCGUGGGUCUCUCUGGGACAGACAGAAAGACGGGAUGUCUGCACGCUGCCCCCAGAGGGCGGCAUUCCACACCCAUUCCCUCAUUUCACUUGGAAGUGGCCCCAGGAAGUAUUAUUAUUGUCUCCAUAUCACAGAUGAGGAAACUGAGGCCCAACUGUUUACCCGUGGCCAAGGAGCAGCCUCCUGCGGAGAGGUGGAGCCAGGUCCCCCAAAUGUGCCUUUCCAUUGUGACCCCAUUUAACGUUCUUCAGCCGGACGCGGGCCAAGGCUUAAAGCCCUUCACCCAGUGGCUCUCCUUGGACAUCCUGUGUCCUUCCGGUAGCCCCUGUGACCUCGGAUGGGCCACGCGGCUCAUAUCCCUUUUGGCCCGUAGGUGCCAGCUUGGCUCAAUAAUCUUUAACUUACCUCCCACGAACGUGGUGUCUUUAGGACCUCGUCAGAAUUCCUCGGGGCCAGGGAUGGUGUCAGGCCCCCUGGACGGGAGAGAAAGGGACCGCAGAGGGAGGGACGGGAUUUGGACAGGAGCCCAGGCUGGUACACGAGGGGCGGGGACUUGAACCCAGGCACGUGCCAUCUGGCUGGCUUUCUCUCCCCUGCCGCUGGCGGAGUGAAGCAGGGGGGAGUCCCAGAAGCCGACUCACAGCUGCAGGUAACGUAAAAACAACCGAGGUUUGAGGUGCAGCACCUAAUCCGCGGACUCAUCAAUGCAAAGAAGCCGUGCUUUGCCACCGACUUCGUCGAGUCCAGGGUAUCUGCAUGAUACAGAGGGUCCCGGGUGGGCCUGGGAUUCACGUGGGAGCAGAGGGGUGAGCGGGCCACUAAGUCCCCGGUCAACGUGACCGCCUGCCCGCACCCUCUCUGGCCACUGAGGUGCGGCGUCCACGUGGAGCCCCCAGCUGCCCUUGGCUCCUUGCAGGACAGGCCUCCACCUGCCGUUCUUAGGAAAGGCUAAUUUUGCCCCCAGCAUCUCAGGUGACUGCAAGAGGCCAAACCAGGGACUCGGUGAUUUACCGGCCAGAUGCUUAAGGCAACAGGUGUCCCCAGCUGUAAGAAGCAGCUACCCUACACCUGGGUGUUUUGCAAAAGGAGUGGCUCAUUGGGGCUCCUCGGUGGCUCAGUCGGUUAAGCGUCUGACUUCGGCUCAGGUCACGAUCUCGCGGUUCGUGUGCGGAGCCUGCCUGGAAUUCUCUUUCUCUCUCU